rnacentral:rRNA from 1 species
UACGUAGGGGGCUAGCGUUGUCCGGAAUCAUUGGGCGUAAAGAGCGUGUAGGCGGCCCGGUAAGUCCGCUGUGAAAGUCGGGGGCUCAACCCUGGGAUGCCGGUCGAUACUGCCGGACUAGAGUUCGGAAGAGGCGAGUGGAAUUCCCGGUGUAGCGGUGAAAUGCGCAGAUAUCGGGAGGAACACCUAUGGCGAAGGCAGCUCGCUGGGACGUUACUGACGCUGAGACGCGAAAGCGUGGGGAGCAAACAGG